GACGAACGCUGGCGGCGUGCCUAAUACAUGCGAGUAGAACGCUGAAGAGAGGAGCUUGCUCUUCUUGGAUGAGUUGCGAACGGGUGAGUAACGCGUAGGUAACCUGCCUUGUAGCGGGGGAUAACUAUUGGAAACGAUAGCUAAUACCGCAUAACAAUGGAUGACACAUGUCAUUUAUUUGAAAGGGGCAAUUGCUCCACUACAAGAUGGACCUGCGUUGUAUUAGCUAGUAGGUGAGGUAAUGGCUCACCUAGGCGACGAUACAUAGCCGACCUGAGAGGGUGAUCGGCCACACUGGGACUGAGACACGGCCCAGACUCCUACGGGAGGCAGCAGUAGGGAAUCUUCGGCAAUGGGGGCAACCCUGACCGAGCAACGCCGCGGGAGGGAAGAAGGGUUUCGGAUCGUAAAGCUCUGUUGUAAGUCAAGAACGGGUGUGAGAGUGGAAAGUUCACACUGUGACGAUAGCUUACCAGAAAGGGACGGCUAACUACGUG
rnacentral:rRNA from 1 species